rnacentral:rRNA from 1 species
AUGGUACCUAAAGUCCAAGGUCCUUGUAUUGGAAGUUGUUUUUGUAGCAUUGUGGCACUGGGAAUCUGCAUAUGGCAAGUGGCAUUUACCAUAUUUCCCAGAUCUGAGAGCAUGGAUUGGAUUGGCUUGGAUUGGGGCCUAGGAAAAAAAAGUUACCAAAAAGCUGCUAGUACGUACUUAUCAUUGAGUUUUUUUUUACAACUCACUCGCCACCAGGCCAGCCCAGCCAAGUUGAUGUGGAUGUGUAGUGUAGAAGUAGAGAGUAUGCAUGCUUGGCCUGUUGCUUUGCUUUGGAAUCAAGGCAGGAAGUACUUGAAAUGGUAG